rnacentral:rRNA from 1 species
GGAAUCUUCGGCAAUGGACGAAAGUCUGACCGAGCAACGCCGCGUGAGUGAAGAAGGUUUUCGGAUCGUAAAACUCUGUUGGUAGAGAAGAACGUUGGUGAGAGUGGAAAGCUCAUCAAGUGACGGUAACUACCCAGAAAGGGACGGCUAACUACGUGCAG